CGGUGGCACUGUCUCCGCCGAUUCUCCCUGUGGCAGGCCCAACUGCCGCAGCUCUGAGACUUGUGGGAAUUCGGCCCAACGGUUCCCAGGGCAACGCGCAAGCGCAGUUCAGUUCCCAGCUGUAGCCUCCAGUUCAUUGUGUUCUGACUGCGAUGUGGCGCUUGCGAUCUUUCGCCGCGGGCAGAGGCUCCUGGAAGAGCGACACGGGGGUGACCAGGCACGGUGGUCAAAGACGCAGAGGGAGAGCGGUAGUGGUCCUGAGGUGGUCUGGGGAGAAGGGCGGAGGGAAAGCCGAGGAGGUGCGGGUCGUGGUCCAUUCUGGAGGACGCUGAUGGAAUGCCCCAAACUUCCUGGAAUGUAUGUUUGAGAUUUGAUCCCAAACAGGAGGAGGGAGGACAGCCAGGGGUGGUCAUCCUGGGCUUAGGGUCGAGUCUGUGAGUGCCUGUGGAGGAGAUGGGGCCAGGGCCUCUGGCUUGUGUCUUGGAGCGGACUCCGAGAAGCCCAAGGAUUCCGCUCAGGUGAUAGAUACACGCCUGGCGUGGUUCCGAGUCCUGCUCCAGGAACUUGCCAAGGCCGGAGGCAGCCGCUGCGCGGCCCCUGCAGCAGCCCCGGGGGGACCUGGUGAAGCGGCAAGGGCUGAAGGGAGUUGCGUGAAUAGGGUUCCUACCCUUCCCUGUCCUUACCCCGGCAAGGCACACAAACGCAGCUUCUGUCCACCUGUGACUCCAGGCCACCCAAACUGGGCCCCAGAGAGUGAGAACCCUGAAGCCAGAGAAGGGCUUGGCUGAAAGGCUUCGACAGUGAAGAGCCAGCCUUCUUAGCCUCCUUAGCCUCCUUUUUGAGGAGAGAGAAGAUUACCUUCCUUUCCCUCUUCUCCCAUCACUCCCAGAUUAGGCAGCUGUUCCAAAGCUGCAGAGGGAGAGGGAGAAGGAGAGCGGGAGCCAUCUUCCAGUCCAAUCCAAUUCAGACAUCGCCCUCAGUUGCCUCUCCCCAGCGCCCCCACCUUUUCUGGUACAUCCUGGUGAGUUCUGGAGCUGAAUCUUGUUAAAGAGACAAUUCUCGGCCGGGCGCGGUGGCUCACACCUGUAAUCUCAGCACUUUGGAAGCUGAGGAGGACGGAACACCUGAGGUGUAUAGACCCUUCUAGCCUGAGGAGUCCUAAGAGUGCAAAGCUCCACACCUGCCUCCAUAGCACUUUGCCUGUCCCUAAGAGGGCUCAUCAGAGAAGAAAGAAUGGCCCUCAGCCACCUGCCAACCAUGGUCCAGGAAUCGGUGACCUUCAAGGAUGUGGCUGUGCUCUUCACUCAGGAAGAGUGGGGGCAGCUGAGCCCAGCCCAGAGGGCCUUGUACAGGGACGUGAUGCUGGAGAACUACAGCAACCUGGUCUCACUGGGACUCUUAGGACCCAAAUCAGAUAUAUUUUCCCAGCUGGAAAAAAGGGAAGAGUGGAUGCCAGAGGACCCCUCUGGAGGCUUCUGUCUUGACUGGAUGACUAUGCCUGUCUGUAAGAAGUCUACUCUCAAGGCAGAGAUUCCUGAAGAAGAAUUGGACCAAUGGACAAUAAAGGAAAGAUUGGGUAGCAGUAGUUACUGGAAAUGUGCUAGUCUGUUGGAGUGGCAAUGUGGAGGCCAGGGGAUCAGUCUGCAGCGAGCAGCACUCCCUCACCUGAACACCCCAUCUGGGAUUGGUGAACAGGAAUGUGAUGAUUCUGGGAGCACUGUGAGCUCAUCUCUUCAUAGUGCUCGAAGCCAGGGACUUCAACCCAGCAAAAAAGCCUUUGAGUGUAGUGAGUGUGGAAAAGGCUUCUCUAAGAGUUCAACUCUUAAUAAACAUCAGAAAAUUCAUACUGCAAAAACAAGUCAGAAAAUUCAUAUUAAAGAGAAAAGAUAUGAAUGUAGAGAAUGUGGGAAAGCCUUUCACCAGAGUACGCACCUUAUCCAUCACCAAAGAAUUCACACUGGUGAGAAACCCUAUGAAUGUAAGGAAUGUGGCAAGGCCUUCUCAGUGAGCUCCUCACUUACCUACCAUCAGAAAAUUCAUACCGGAGAGAAGCCUUUUGAAUGCAACUUAUGUGGAAAAGCUUUUAUCCGAAAUAUACACCUUGCCCAUCAUCAUAGAAUACAUACUGGAGAGAAGCCUUUUAAAUGUAACAUUUGUGAAAAAGCCUUUGUGUGCAGGGCACAUCUUACCAAACACCAGAAUAUCCACAGUGGAGAGAAACCCUAUAAAUGUAAUGAAUGUGGGAAAGCCUUUAAUCAGAGUACAAGUUUUCUUCAGCAUCAGAGAAUUCACACUGGAGAGAAACCCUUUGAAUGUAACCAAUGUGGGAAGGCCUUCAGGGUGAACUCUUCCCUUACUGAACAUCAGAGAAUUCACACUGGAGAGAAACCUUAUAAAUGUAAUGAAUGUGGAAAAGCUUUCAGGGAUAAUUCAUCCUUUGCGCGACAUCGGAAAAUUCACACUGGAGAGAAACCUUACAGAUGUGGUUUGUGUGAGAAAGCCUUCAGGGACCAAUCAGCACUUGCCCAACAUCAGAGAAUUCAUACUGGGGAAAAACCUUAUACAUGUAAUAUAUGUGAAAAAGCCUUCAGUGACCAUUCAGCCCUUACCCAACAUAAGAGAAUUCAUACUAGAGAAAAACCUUACAAAUGUAAAAUCUGUGGGAAAGCCUUUAUCCGAAGCACCCACCUUACUCAGCAUCAGAGGAUUCACACAGGAGAGAAACCCUAUAAAUGUAAUAAAUGUGGGAAAGCUUUUAACCAGACUGCAAACCUCAUUCAGCAUCAGAGACAUCAUAUUGGAGAAAAGUGAUAUGAAUGUUGAAUGUAGUUUGUAUGGAAGACCUUUGAGACUGAGUAAAUUAAUUAUUGAAUAUAAGAAAAUCCAUUCUAGAGAAUAACUAUGAAAGCUUGCAUCAAGAUAGUCACUUUAUUUACUAAGGGUCAAGGUUCAUAGUGUCACGGGGUUUGGGCAUUUAAGAAUGGCAAACACUCCUCAUUCUUAAAUACUGCCUCAAGUAGCAGUACUGUUUCAUUAGUCUGAAUUGCCAACUAUCAGAACCAAAAUGGAGCUUCAUUAACAAUUAACAGCAUUAAAAUUGGUUUAUCAAAUUACAUCUUGACUAUUAGAGAAACUGUGAAAUUAUAAAAAUUUGAGAAGCAAAAGAACAAAAAGUCAAAAUGGGCUACAAGGGUUUCACUCUACUAGAUUAUCUUACAUAAGAGAGUUGAGUUGCCACCUUUAAUGGAACCCUUAGUCCUCUUCACCCAAACCACUGACACCCAAUAUAAAGAAAGUGCAGUCACCAUGUGUCACCCAUAAUUGUUUACAUUAUGCUUCCUACCUUCUGCUUCAAACCAUCCAUUUUCAGAUACCUCUGGUCUGCCUGUCCACUGGCUUCAUCCCUGUAGAAUCCCUGUGAGAUUAUUUUCCCCAAAUGACCCUCUUCUUAGCAACUCCUAACUGUCUGCGUGGUGUCACCUAUCACUGCCCCAUAUGGGGAGUAUGGUGAUCUGGUCUCAGACACAGUCCAUGAUUCUGAAUAUCACACCCAAAUAUAGCUUUCAGAACUUAGAAUCUCUGUCUGGAAGGCAAAACUUGAUCAAAAUUCUUGAGUUACGGAUUUCCACUGGGCCUCAGCUUGACUGACCCUGGGAUGGUACCUGAAGUAGGGGCUUUGCCUGUGCCACAUUUACCCUCCAGUUGUUCUGUAGUAUACUUAGUGACUCUACACAUCAGUCAGGGACUUGCUCAGCUUCUGGUGCAAUGAUUCCACCCACUUAAGUUGUAGUAUUCCCAACCACCUCCAUUUGUCAUUUCCCAUUUCCCUGUGUGCAAUCGAUAUAAGAGGCGAAAGCCCCAAGGCCAGUUCUCAGAAUGCUCUGACCCACUCUUUUCUCCCUCAUUGAACAGUCCACUGUAUCUACUGCAUUAGAGUACAUUUACUACUCUCAGCAUAAACUGCUGCAUCCUAGUCCUUUCCCUGUUUUUUUUCUAGGUUUCUGGAGGUAUUAAUUCUAUAUUCAUAGGAAAGCAGACAGCUUUGAAUUUCAGCUUUUGCAUUUGGAAGUGGUCAUUUCCUCUCCUCCAUCUAGGGCUUUCACUAUUUAAGGACUCAUGCUGACAGUGGUGAGAAAAAUGUUGAGUAAUCCCAUGAGUCAAGAAGUGGUCAGUAGCACCAUUGACAUUCCCUGGCAAGGGCCAUGUACUUGUUCAAAAGUCUGGUACAGUAGUCCGGGAGGUAGGGUUCCUUCACCAUCUUUAAUCCUUCAUUGCUUUCAGUAGAAAUAACACAGAUAAAAUAACAUCUGUGCUCCUUCACACACACAGCCUCUGGGGCCCUCACCCUUUCCCUACCACAAGGAAUGGAGGAGCCUGUACUACCGCAAGGUGGAACAUACCAUGCAAUGAAGAUGGGAGGCCAAGCAAAUUACUCUGCAAAGUGAAGUGGCAAGUUCCUGGUUUGUGGAAGUGCUGUCUGUCAAGUCGAGCAAUGUGGACCCCUCAGAAUGCAGCACCUCACCCCAUGUUACAGAAGAGGAUAUUUUAUAUCAUGGUAGAACUCAGUGGGCUCUGGGUUGCAACAUAGACUUGGAAGCUUCCAGCAGCUUCAAAGUCCAGAUAAUCUAAAUUCAGUCUUCAUCUAAUAAAGGCCACCUUUGUGAGCCAGCAUCUCCUGUUAGGUGAUCAGCAACUCAGACUUUCUCCCAUAUUAAGCUGCAUGUGAAGCACUGUUUCAAGAGGUUUCUUGGGAUUGUCUGUGUCCCAUAUCCACAGAAGUUCAUCUGCAGCUUCACAUGGCUGACACCCUGAGAUUCCAGAGUAAAUCUGAAAAAAUCAUGUUCACUGCCACAGAUGUCUGCCUUCAUCCCUAUCCAUGUGAUGUGCUAGGUCUUAACUACCAUCCCCUUACCUUGAAUCCCUGAGAAGCACGUUUCUAAGCUGAGUUGGUUGGUUUUUUUAUUUGUAAUCAAUGCAUGAGAACUACCACUACUUGGAAUGUGCCUACAGUUAAGCCAGGGCCAAGGCCUGCACCCAGCUCAAGAGUCUCAUUCAUCUCAACCACAGCUCCAGGAACUGUGCCUCUAGUGUGUAAGUGCAGCCUGAAGCCCCUCCAUCUGAGAUGACGGUGCACUCUCCCUGAGUUCAUCUUUUGUCAGGCUUGGGUUCUCAUGGAUUUAGUCCUCCGAGGUGCCUGUUCACUUAUCCCAGUCUGGGAAGGCAAAAAGUAAGUCACUGGCUUAUGAGAUAUGCCCAGGCUGACUUGAAUAUAUUUAUGGUACUAGUAUUUGGCCAGGCAGUGGCUUUACUCUAUUUUACUGUAGGAGUACAAGCUUGCUACAUGGCCUUCUUAAUUAGGAGAGUGUGCAUUGCUUGGGUCUUAGUCCUUUUUCUCAUGUGGAUUAUAUGGCUCUCUACCUGGGCAUUUUAACCUGCCCCAGCUGAACCCCUAAAAGUAAAUUUCUGAGGACCCUGCAGUAAGACUUCUUCAGCCACAAUCUUUUCUGCCAGCUGAUCUGUGCAGUAUUUGACAUCUCAGCAGUUACCGAGAGGAAGUUUUCUGUACCCCACCUUCAGCUGGGUUAAUCCCCAAACACCCAGUGUUUCCUAGAAAGAGCAGUUCAUUCUGUACCUUGCUUUUCUAGUCCUAAUGGCCAUAUAGACAUAAACAACUGUGACAAGAUGAAGGACCACGAUUUGGGACUCUUCAGGGACAGAUUUGGCCACCCGGUAAUGUGCCGCCUUCAGCAGCUCCGUCUUUACACAUCCAGCCUGCCUUUGCUUCAUGUAGUGCACAAAACUGCUCUGGCAUACCACGACCAUGAACUUCACGUGAAGCCAGUCUCCCCGCCCCUCACUUGGGCCAUAGCAAAAGAUUCCUCUGCCCGUCUCCUGCCGGGUGCCCCUCAUCUCCAGCUGACUGAUUUGUCAUCUGGGUUCUUUCUUCCUGCCUGCCUGUUUGUCCAGCUUUGACAGUAGCCUCUAAGACGUUACCUUUGUCCAUAUUCAUAUUCACUGACUGCUUCCAGGACAGCACUUUGUCCCUGCAACAGACUCAGGCUUCCAGGUUACUGUGCCUGAGCCUCAGAGUCGUGGAACAAAGUUGCUUUGAACUGAAUGCUUUUUGUGGAGAAAACAAUGUAAUUCAGAAUUAAUCCAAGAACACCAUAGCUUCUCCCUGUCUGAUUCCUCUCCUUUUCUUCCUGUUCCUUUGCACUUUGCCCCACCCUUCCCCUAUAGCCUGGCUCAGUUGGCAGUACACCAUGGAGACACCAGUCUCUCACCCUCUUCUGUCUUGCAGCUGGAGGGCUCCCCACUUUUUGGCCCACCUCAACUCCUGCUAAAUAUAUCUUUGGCAAUUUAAAUAUUUUUAUAACAGUUUGUGAAAGGAAAAGAAUUCAAGGCUUGGUUGAUUCUGAUCACUCAAGGACCUCUUGGUGGUGCUGACAGUCAUCCUCUGCAGGUGCCAGCACUGGGUGGCACUGACACUUCCUUUGUGUUCCAUGUGCCACCCUCUGUACCCACGUCACUAUCCUUAAAAAAAUGUUGACAGUAAUUCUUCAUCGGUGUGUCUUUCUGAAAAUAAAGUAAGUCCCCAGUUUUCUAAGA